GGUUAACGGUUAAUACCCGUCAGCUGUGACGUUACUGACAGAAGAAGCACCGGCUAACUCCGUGCCAGCAGCCGCGGUAAUACGGAGGGUGCGAGCGUUAAUCGGAAUUACUGGGCGUAAAGCGUACGCAGGCGGUUUGUUAAGCGAGAUGUGAAAGCCCCGGGCUCAACCUGGGAACUGCAUUUCGAACUGGCAAACUAGAGUGUGAUAGAGGGUGGUAGAAUUUCAGGUGUAGCGGUGAAAUGCGUAGAGAUCUGAAGGAAUACCGAUGGCGAAGGCAGCCACCUGGGUCAACACUGACGCUCAUGUACGAAAGCGUGGGGAGCAAACGGGAUUAGAUACCCCGGUAGUCCACGCCGUAAACGAUGUCUACUAGAAGCUCGGAGCCUCGGUUCUGUUUUUCAAAGCUAACGCAUUAAGUAGACCGCCUGGGGAGUACGGCCGCAAGGUUAAAACUCAAAUGAAUUGACGGGGCC
rnacentral:rRNA from 1 species